rnacentral:rRNA from 1 species
AGUGAACGCUGGCGGUAGGCCUAACACAUGCAAGUCGAACGGCAGCACAGUAAGAGCUUGCUCUUACGGGUGGCGAGUGGCGGACGGGUGAGGAAUACAUCGGAAUCUACUUUUUCGUGGGGGAUAACGUAGGGAAACUUACGCUAAUACCGCAUACGACCUACGGGUGAAAGCAGGGGAUCUUCGGACCUUUCGCGAUGGAAUGAGCCGAUGUCGGAUUAGCUAGUUGGCGGGGUAAAGGCCCACCAAGGCGACGAUCCGUAGCUGGUCUGAGAGGAUGAUCAGCCAAACUGGAACUGAGACACGGUCCAGACUCCUACGGGAGGCAGCAGUGGGGAAUAUUGGACAAUGGGCGAAAGCCUGAUCCAGCCAUACCGCGUGGGUGAAGAAGGCCUUCGGGUUGUAAAGCCCUUUUGUUGGGAAAGAAAAGCAGCAGGUUAAUACCCCGCUGUUCUGACGGUACCAAAAGAAUAAGCACCGGCUAACUUCGU